GGUCUGGAGCCGAAGCGAAAGCGAGUUUGAAAAGGGCGUUAAGUUGCAUAUAAUGGGCCCGAAACCGGGUGACCUACCCAUGGUCAGGUUGAAGUGGAAGUAAAAUUCCAUGGAGGACCGAACCGACCUCCGUUGAAAAGGCGGCGGAUGAACUGUGGGUAGCGGAGAAAUUCCAAUCGAACCCGGAGAUAGCUGGUUCUCCCCGAAAUAGUUUUAGGACUAGCCUCAAGUUAGAUACCUGGAGGUAAAGCACUGAAUAGCCUAGCGGCCGAGAGGUUAGCGAAGCUUAUCAAACUCAGAAUGCCAGAGUAUUGAUGCUUGGGAGUCAGACAGUGUCAGAUAAAUGUCAUUGUCAAAAGGGAAACAGCCCAGAUCUACAGCUAAGGUCCCAAAGUCAGGUUAAGUGGAAAACGAUGUGAAGAUACGCAGACAACCAGGAUGUUGGCUCAGAAGCAGCCACUCAUUCAAAGAGUGCGUAAUAGCUCACUGGUCGAGCGUCUUUGCGCGGAGAAUUUAACGGGGCUAAACCUGACACCGAAGCUUAGGCAAUCCAGUAAUGGAUUGGGUAGGGGAGCGUUGUAUACGCGGAGAAACAGUAGCGUAAGCGGCUGUGGAGUGUAUAGAAGUGAGAAUGCCGGAAUGAGUAGCGCGAAUGCAGUGAGAAUCUGCAUGGCCGAAAGCCUCAGGUUUUUGGAGGAAGGUUCGUCCGCUCCAAGUUAGUCGGGAGCUAAGGUGAGGCCGGAAGGCGUAGCCGAUGCACAGACGGUAGAGAUUCCGUCACCACCAAAAGAGUUAAGCACAGGGACACAUUUGAAGUCUCAGAGCCGGGUGUUGGUUCCGGUAGAGAUCGAGGGAAGUUAGUACCGAAGUCUGGGAUGGAAGAUGGCGAGAAAAGCUGUGUGUAUUUCUGAGGUGCCCGUACCGCAAACCGACACAGGUAGGUAGGAAGAAGAUUCUAAGGCCAACGGGAGAAGGGUUGUUAAGGAACUCGGCAAAUUGACCCCGUAACUUCGGGAGAAGGGGUGCUCCAGCGAUGGAGCCGCAGAGAAUCGGCCCAAGCAACUGUUUACCAAAAACACAGGUUUGUGCUAAAUCGAAAGAUGACGUAUACGAGCUGACGCCUGCCCGGUGCUGGAAGGUUAAGAGGAGAUGUGCAAGCAUUGAAUCGAAGCCCCAGUGAACGGCGGCCGUAACUAUAACGGUCCUAAGGUAGCGAAAUUCCUUGUCAGGUAAGUUCUGACCCGCAUGAAAGGCGUAAUGAUUUGGGCACUGUCUCGACAGCCCGCCCGGCGAAAUUGUAGUACCGGUGAAGAUGCCGGUUACCCGCGACAAGACGGAAAGACCCCAUGGAGCUUUACUGUAGCCUAAUAUUGGGUUUCGAUGUUGCAUGCACAG
rnacentral:rRNA from 1 species